rnacentral:lncRNA from 1 species
CGAGCCCAAGAGAGCGGCAGGAAGGCAUCGCGGGAAGGCGAUCGGCAAGGAGGGGGGGGAAGGGAAGCCGGCCGGGAAACCUCACACGACGGAGGACCCCGGGACACACAGCUCAACCUCACCCACAGCCCACCGUUCGAGGCCGCCGCCAAAGCAGAAACACGGCCCUAGGAGCAGGGCCCGGUCCACCCGACUUGGGCAGGAACCGCCACUCCCCCCUCCCCCAGGCGGGGCAGCGGGAGCCAGGAACAGGCGGGUGAGCGACAGAGUCAUCACCGCCUGCCCGACGGGCCUCCCUCGCGGGACCAGGGACACCACAUCGAUCCGAGAGAAUCUCCAAGACGGAAGAGGCGGAGAGACAGCGCCCAUCGAGCCAUAUCGGCCGAGAGAGAGAGACUCAGAGCAUAACGCCACCCAAGAAAAAAAACCAAGAGCCGACCCCAACACCACCGAGGAGAGAGCGGAAGACGGGGGCCGGGCGGCAACCCGGAGGCGCCGCGCAGCCCGAGGCAACAACCAGCCGAGAGGUUCCGGGAGAAGGACAGAGACCGGCAGCGGACCGCCUCACAGCACGACAACGGCCCCAAAGCCAAAAGCGCGGCUUUUCUGCACACCGGCUCGUCCUCCCCAUUCCCAACAACAGCCAGAGCACUUCUCCCCACUAGUCUGCAGGCACAAUCACCCGUUUGUUGACGAAAAAAUUACGUGCCGCACCACCGGGGGAAAUUUGAAAAUCGAGCCCAGCUCAUGGAACUCUGACCCGGAUAGCCCUGGCAAUCUCGACCCCAUCGGACUUCCGGACUGGAGCAGCUCACCGAGAAAAGGCAACGCCCACCGCGUCGAGCGUCAGUGGGCGUCCGGGGCACGACCCCCACAAGCCCCACGACGGAGGGCGACCCGCGGGGAGCCCCGCAAGGGGGCGCUACAGAGUCGCCUCUCGCACAAAGCCGCCAGAGACUAAGUCCCCACUUUCGCCGCCAGAGACUAAGUCCCCACUUUCGCCGCCAGAGACUAAGUCCCCACUUUCGCUGACAGAGACUAAGCCCCUCCUCUGGUUUUCGCUGCCGCCGCCGCCCACCGCCGCCGCCGCCGCCGCCGCCGCCGCCGCCGCCGCCGCCGCCGCCGCCGCCGCCGGGAGACCCAGGUCUUCAUUCUCACAGUCCGAGUCCCACCCGUCCCUCCACCUUCCGGAAGGACGACGUCUUCGUCUUCUGAGCCGCAGGAGAUCUCCCCUGGAGACUCAAAGAGCCUUCCAUUCCACACCGAAUUCCACCAUCCGCCUCUUUUUUCCCCCUCCACGACGAAAACGCUUUGCUCCUGGCUCUCCAGAGCCCGCCUCCCCUCCAGACCCAGAACUUCUCCGGUCCCCGCGCACCCGCUCUCCCACCACCAACCGCAUUUUCGCCGUUAUAAUCCAAGUCCCCGCUUUUAAAUAGUGAAGAGAAUCCGAAAAAGAAAAAGAUUUUGUCCACGAGUAAUUUUCUUAUUUUGCCGCUAGGUGGAGUCAAUUGAUAAGAAUACGGAGUCUGGAAGACUCGAAGUCUGUUUAGGAGAUGAAGGUGACCACUGGGGCUAUAUAUUCGCUGAGUGACCCUAGCGAAGUUUCCUAAUCUUAUUUUAAGUUGUUUUUUUUUUUUUUGGUUUGUUUGUUUUUUAGAGGAGGGAGACAGACAAGCAACGACAGAGAGUCUAACAUAGACUAAAAGAUUUUGAGACUACAAAAGCAGAGACAUAGAUUUUCAGAAAUGGAGAGAGAGAGAGAGAGAGAGAGAGAGAGAGAGAGAGAGAGAGAGAGAGAGAGAGAGAGAGAGAGAAAUUUCGUCCGUGUAAUGCUCUGAAUAGGUCACUAGGUGGCAGCCGUGGAUAAGAUUACUUAAGAUUACAGUGUCUUGGCGUCAGGAAGACUAGCCCUGCCCAGAAAGACACUUCUCCAAGUCUCCCUUCCUGCCCUCCCCCACACCCGAUCUCUGGUUGCAGGUCUAGGCUGGAGCCACCUUGGCACGUGGAGCCUAACACCACCUUCUCCCCCCCCCCCAACCCCAGCUCCUCUUCUCCACCUUAGGCUCCCUGGCCCUCUAGGGCUGGCGUGUGGGCGGUCCCCUGAGGCAAGUUGGGAGCCUGGUUUGAUGGCCCCAAACCUGGAAACAAUAGGGGUCGGUGGGGAUGGGGGUUUAUAGAAGUGGGGACCUCCCUCUGUUGUCCUUUCGGGAGAGACUUCUGGACUUGGGGGUGAGGGGAGGAAGGUGCCUGGAGUUUCACCCCUCUUUUAGGAAAGGCCUUCUCGAAAUUAAAGUAGGCGACAAGGAAACUGAAACCAUCACUCUUUGCAGAUGAUAUGAUGGUAUACUCAGGGAAUCCUAGAAAAUCAACUCAAAAGCUAGUGGAAGUAACCAAUAAAUAGCAAAGUUGCAUGAUAUAAAAUAAGCCC